ACACGACAUAUGUCUACAAGCCUCUAAGAGUACAUAAAUGUCAUAAAGGUCAAGACAAAAUCCUGCCAUACCAAACAAUACACGUCUAAAUCAUACUAGCCAAACAAGCAACUCCGAAGCAAAUGGAGCUAAUGGCCUAUUUGGAAGUCUCUCGGCCUGUUUAUCAGGACCUGCAGGCAUGAAACGCAGUGUCCCCAGGCAAAAGGGAUGUCAGUAAAAAAUAUACCGAGUAUGUAAGGCACAUAAAUAAGUAUGAACAGACAAAGAAGAAAUAUAGAGUACUUGACUCAACCGGUAAGUCUGAAUAACUCUGUAAAUCAUGAAAUACUUUUAGCAUCAUGCAUAUGAGUAUGAAUAUCAUAUCGUGCAUAAGUACAUGUUUCAUAACAUCAUCAGCCUCUGAAGGCAUCCCAUUGUAUCAUAUCAGCCACUGUCUGCAAAAUCAUCAACGUAUACCAGCUGAUCAGGUGGUGGUGCAUAUAUAACGCCAUAACCUUUCCCAUAUCCUAUAUAUAUAUACACACACACACAUAGAUAGGGGUAUAUAAUGCCAUCUGGUCACGGGUCAAUGUACAUGAUUGCAAUGCAUGAAAAGUACGUUAAUAAAAUCUUUCGGAAUGUCAUAAGACCAUUUUGCCUUUGAGUAAUAUCAUAAAGUAAACUCUUUUCUACUUUUGUAUUUUUUUGAGACCCAUAAACAAAUGAUAAAAUAUUAUGAUACAUGGAAAUUCAAGAACAUAGAUAUAUCUAAUACUUCUAUGAAUAGAACUAUGUAUGGAAUUUGUGCACUUGCACGUUUCGUUCGUAUCGUAUGGAUCAUGCCAAAAGAAAGAAGGGAUAACCUUAACAUACCUGAGCCGAUUCUCUUGACAAUCAUUCUAAAACACGUUUAUUGCGAUAAAACACGUGACGACAGAUCGAAAUAGUGAAAAAAUCUAUGUAAUAUUCUUGAGAAAGAUUGUACCGUGCUCUAUUAGAAAAGCAAUUCCCGUUGUUAUUACCUUAGGAAGUCUCGUACGAAAUUGUUGUAGUAUAAGAAAAGGAAUCUUAGAAAAUCUCAUCCGAUCACUUGCCAAGCUCAAAUCUUCAACUAUGGAAAAAUUUCCUCCAUUAUCCUAAUAUGUGUUUGAGAUUCUGUUGGUGCGUAGCUUGAAUUAUAUUGAAUUUAAGCUUUUGCCAAUUUUC
rnacentral:lncRNA from 1 species